rnacentral:rRNA from 1 species
UCGCCUGUUUAUCAAAAACAUGUCUUCUUGUGAAUAAUUUGAAGUCUGACCUGCCCACUGAUUAAUUUAUUGAAGGGCCGCGGUAUAUUGACCGUGCAAAGGUAGCAUAAUCAUUAGUCUUUUUAUUGAAGGCUUGUAUGAAUGGUUGGACGAGGUAUUGACUGUCUCUGUGUAGAUGAUAAUAGAAUUUAACAUUUAAGUUAAAAGGCUUAAAUGUAUUUAAAGGACGAGAAGACCCUAUAGAGCUUUAUAUUGUUGUUGAUUUUAUUUAUGUAGUGGUAAUUAAAUGAAAUUAAUUACAGUAUUUUGUUGGGGUGACAGGAAGAUAUAAAAAACUCUUUUUAGAAUUUAAGUCAUUGAUGUAUGAAUUAUUGAUCCGUUAUUAAUGAUUAUAAGACUAAGUUACCUUAGGGAUAACAGCGUAAUCUUUUUCGAGAGUUCUUAUCGACAAAAAGGGUUGCGACCUCGAUGUUGGAUUAAGAGUAAUUUUGGGUGUAGAUGUUCAAAGUUUAGGUCUGUUCGACCUUUAAAUUCUUACAUGAUCUGAGUUCAAACCGGAGA